CUAAAGUAUAAGCCUACCUGC
rnacentral:siRNA from 1 species